rnacentral:lncRNA from 1 species
CUACCUCCUGAACUUUUGGCGAGUUUUACUUAACCCCCCAAACUCCUAAAAUAGACAUCUAACACCCUAAACUCUAAUAUUUUAUUCGUUUUAUCCCUUCUAUCAGUUUUCGGUUAAUGGAGCUUGACGGAAAACUGACAGAAGGGGUAACAUGAACGAAAUAUUAUAGUUUAGGGGGUUAGAUGUGCAUUUUAGGAGUUCGAGGGGUAAAGUGAAACUUCGCCAAAAGUUAAGGGGGUAACAAUGUAAUUUAUCAUAUAUAUAUAUAUAUAUAUAGCAGGGCUGUUGUGCUCUCAGGAGCAUAGAGGCCUCCGUGCUCCUGAGCCGUUUUCGAUGACGGAGUUUUCGAAUCGACGAUCGGCUCCAUUAAACUUGAUCUAGCGUAUUUGAAGUUUUUAGAAAAUAAUUUUUGCGAUUUUUCGAUAUCAUUUACCUAGCAAUCGAAAGGAUUCAAAAUUAAUAAUUUUUAACGGCUGAAAAUAAAAAUCCUAUAAAAAGUGGUGAUAUAGUACUAAAAUUUUCGAUCAGAAAUAUUGAUCUUGUUGUAGAUAGUAUAAAGAAUUUUCUAUCAAAAUUUCAUCUGAUUUGAAUACUUCUACACCGUUAAACUUGAAAACGGCAGAUAUCAACCAUUAAAAAUUAUGGAUUUUGAAUCCUUUCGAUCACUAGGUAAAUGAUAUUAAAAAAUCGCAAAAAUUAUUUUCUACAAACUUCAAAUGCGCUAGAUCAAGUCUAACGGAGCCGAUCGUCGAUUCGAAAAUUCCAUCAUCGAAAACGGCUCAGGAGCACGGAGGCCUCCGUGCCUCCGUGCUCCUGAGCCGUUUUCGAUGACGGAGUUUUCGAAUCGACGAUCGGCUCCGUUAAACUUGAUCUAGCGUAUUUGAAGUUUUUAGAAAAUAAUUUUUGCGAUUUUUCGAUAUCAUUUACCUAGCAAUCGAAAGGAUUCAAAAUUAAUAAUUUUUAACGGCUGAAAAUAAAAAUCCUAUAAAAAGUGGUGAUAUAGUACUAAAAUUUUCGAUCAGAAAUAUUGAUCUUGUUGUAGAUAGUAUAAAGAAUUUUGUAUCAAAAUUUCAUCUGAUUUGAAAACUUCUCUACCGUUAAACUUGAAAACGGCAGAUAGCAACCAUUAAAAAUUAUGGAUGUUGAAUCCUUUCGAUCACUAAGUAAAUGAUAUUAAAAAAUCGUAAAAAUUAUUUUCUACAAACUUCAAAUGCGCUAGAUCAAGUCUAACGGAGCCGAUCGUCGAUUCGAAAAUUCCAUCAUCGAAAAUGGCUCAUGAGUACGGAGGCGUUCGUGCCUCCGUACUAAUAAAUUGUUUUCGAUGAUGGAGCUUCAGAAUUGACGAUCCACUCCGUUAAAUAUGAUCUAGAGUAUUUGAAACUUAUAAAAAAUAAAUUUUGUAAUUUUUUGAAAUCAUAAUAAAGUCCAUCAAACGGGCAUAAAAUGAACGGUCAAAAUCGAACGACGUCAUAAAAUAAGUAAUCAGAUCCUUUAAUUUAAGAUCAGAGUUAUUGAUCUUUAUCUAGAUAGCAAAUAGAAUUUUCUAUCCAAAAUUCAACCGAUUUCGUUUCUUUUAUACCGUUAAACUAGUAAGUAUCUCAUACCGGCCAUUAAAAAUUAUCAAUUUUAAGAUCUUUCGAUCGUAAGAUAAAUGAUGUCAAAAUAUUAUAAAAUUUGAUUUCUAGAAGUUUUAAAUGCUCUAUAUAACGUUUAACAGUAUGGAUCGUCGAUUCGGAAACUCUAUCAUUGAAAAUGACUCAUGAGUACGAAAACGAUCGUACUCAUAAUAGUAUAGUAGCCGGACACACACACUCUCUCUCUCUUUCUCUCUCUCUCUCUCUCUAUAUAUAUAUAUAUAUAUAUAUAUAU